AAGCUCGUAGUUGAAUUUCGGGGUUAGUAGGUUGGUCAUGCCUCUGGUAUGUACUGGUCUCACUGAUUCCUCCUUCCUUAUGAACCGUAAUGCCAUUAAUUUGGUGUUGCGGGGAAUUUGGACUGUUACUUUGGAAAAAUUAGAGUGUUUAAAGCAAGCUAACGCUUGAAUACAUUAGCAUGGAAUAAUGAGAUAGGACGUUCGAUCUUAUUUUGUUGGUUUCUAGGAUUGACGUAAUGAUUAAUAGGGAUAGUUGGG
rnacentral:rRNA from 1 species